AUUGUUGGUUGUCGCAGUUGUUGUUCUGCUUUACUUUCACCAUAAGCAGAAAUCACAAAUUCCCAAUCCUUCGCAAGAGAAGAAGAAGAAGAAGAAGAAGAAGAAGAAUUCGAGGAAAUUCUUUAUGGGAUUUUGAUUGCUUCACGAAUUGGUGAACGGAAGUCUUAUAUUUUUUCGUUUUUCCCCUUUCUUUUUGUAAUAUAGAGGGGUUUUAUGCUCAAAUUUUACCCUUGCCUGAAGAGGAGGGAGAGAGAGAGAGAUGCAGACAGAGGCAAGAGUGGGGGUGGUGGUAGAGGGAGGGGCGAGGGCUCUCAGUUCGCAGAAGAAACAGCAAAGGCCAGUGCAACAGCAGCAAUCGCAGAUAGGAACAGUUUCGCAGCUCAUGGCCGGUGGUGUAGCCGGUGCUCUUAGCAAGACUUGCACUGCUCCCCUCGCGCGCCUCACCAUACUUUUUCAGGUGCAAGGUAUGCACUCUGAUGUAGCAACAUUGAGAAAGGCUAGCAUAUGGCAUGAGGCUUCUCGAAUAUUAAGGGAGGAAGGAUUUAGAGCUUUCUGGAAAGGGAAUCUCGUCACAAUUGCUCAUCGGCUGCCUUACUCUUCUGUCAACUUUUAUUCAUAUGAACACUAUAAAAAGUUUCUACAUACGAUACCUGGACUAGAAAGCCACAGGAAAAAUGUGGGUGGAGAUGCCUUUGUUCAUUUUGUAGGUGGUGGAAUGGCUGGGAUAACAGCAGCAUCUGUUACAUACCCAUUGGACCUUGUAAGAACACGCCUUGCAGCUCAGACAAAUGUGAUCUAUUACAGAGGCAUAUUGCAUGCAUUACGAACAAUUAGCAGAGAGGAGGGUGUACGGGGACUCUACAAGGGACUUGGAGCUACACUUUUGGGUGUUGGGCCAAAUAUAGCUAUCAGCUUUUCAGCGUAUGAGACCUUACGUUCUUUUUGGCAAUCACACAGGCCCCACGAUCCUACAGUGGCAGUGAGUUUGGCUUGUGGCAGUCUAUCAGGCAUUGCAUCCUCAACAGGUGAUCAGCCUGAAAUGUGCUAAAUGAAAGGCAUCUUGCAAAUUUUAAUUGAGAUUUAGUAGUAUUUUGAUAUGCAAAUGAAUCAUGCUCUUUUCUCUUGAAAGUUAAACUCAGUUAAGUGUCCAUUGUCCAAGUUUGUCAAUCAUGAUUAAUGUUUGUGGUAUUUUCUGCAACAGAAUUGCAUAUAUUGAUUGAAUAAUCUUUCUACUGCAUAUUUUCUUUGAAUAGCUGCUUUAUCCAUGUCAUAUAUGCUCCUUAUGUUCACCACAAGACUAGGAACAGGAUAUAUAAAGGUUAUAGCAUUUUUUUACUUGCCACAGAACUUUACUGACUGUAUCAAAUGUUAAUUAGCAGAUGUCAAAUGUCCGGCAAACAUUUCAUCAGGCUGCUUCGUCUGAUUAGAUGAUGUCAAUGUCUAAUCGUUAUAGCUGUUUAUUAUACUUUUGAUGCAGAGAAGCAGGGUGUGGUGCAGGCUCUGCAUUAAGUAUCUAACCAGACUGACCCCUAGAGCCAGAGACCUGACAGGAGUUAUUUUGUAUCUUUCAUUUGAUAAUUUUAGUAAGGAAGACAAAGGAGAAAAAAUAAAGAAAAAAAAUUGCAAUUCAUCCAACUUUGUUUCUAUUUAAUAGUUUCCAUUGCAUUAACUUUAUUUCUCCAACAUUUCAUGUGGAACUUGUCUCCCCAAGCAUUGCGUUGAUUCUGUAAUAGGUGGCACUACUCUCAGGAGAACUAGUGCUGUUCUCUCAGUAAUCAAAUGCGAGAGGUUUCCUCUUUGAGCAACAUUUCCUCUUGAUCUUGUGAGACGACGGAAGCAAUUGGAAGGUGCAGGAGGCCGGGCCCGUGUUUACACAACAGGUCUUAUUGGCACAUUCAAGCACAUAAUUCGCACCGAGGGAUUUUGGGGUCUAUAUAGAGGCAUCAUGCCUGAAUACUACAAAGUUGUACCUGGUGUUGGCAUUUGUUUUAUGACCUAUGAGACGUUGAAAUUGUUGUUAGCAGAUGUUACUGCCAAAUUAUAGCUGCUAUGAGCAUAUCUCAGAGGUUGACGUUCAUACAGAAGAAGCGUGAACUGUUAGCCAAGUAGCGUGAUCGGCCAUACUCUUAUCAGUUUUUUCAUGGUGGUUGAUUUUGUGAAGCUACUGUGAGAAUUAUAUGACUCUGUGUAGAUAUAUCAAAGCUCCAUCUAUUUCAAGUGUAUUCUCAACAUUUGUCAAAUUCACAGAAAUUAAUACCUUGGUGAUCCUUUUUUAGUAGUCCAGUUUCUUAUCACCAGCGUCGGACAUGCAACUGAGAUACUGGGUUUAAAAACAUUUGCAGUUUCAUCUCAUCGGCUCAGGAAACUUCAUGAAAGUUUAAGUCGGAAUGAUCAGUCAUCUAUUUGGUUAUCUUCCACAAUUUUGUUUUGACGUUUAAGACCUUCAAAUCCCUAAACCAAAUUUAUGUUCUUAUACGUGUUCCUUCAGGCAUUUGCAAUUGUAUAAGGAGAAGUGUUAUUCUUGAGCUUGGACAAGUGCAGUUCUUUUAAUAGCCUUUGGCAUUCUCACCAAUUUGACGUACGCUGAAUCUGUUGACAGCAUUACUGUCUUGUUUCUUACUUCCUUGACCUUUUAUUGUGAUGAUGGUGGAGAUUUCAUUUGUCUAA